AACGAACGCUGGCGGCAGGCCUAACACAUGCAAGUCGAGCGAGAACUUCGGUUCUAGCGGCGGACGGGUGAGUAACGCGUGGGAACGUGCCCUUUGCUACGGAAUAGCCCAGGGAAACUUGGAUUAAUACCGUAUACGCCCUUCGGGGGAAGGAUUUAUCGGCAAAGGAUCGGCCCGCGUUAGAUUAGGUAGUUGGUGGGGUAAUGGCCUACCAAGCCUACGAUCUAUAGCUGGUUUGAGAGGAUGAUCAGCCACACUGGGACUGAGACACGGCCCAGACUCCUACGGGAGGCAGCAGUGGGGAAUCUUAGACAAUGGGGGAAACCCUGAUCUAGCCAUGCCGCGUGAUCGAUGAAGGCCUUAGGGUUGUAAAGAUCUUUCAGUGGGGAAGAUAAUGACGGUACCCACAGAAGAAGCCCCGGCUAACUCCGUGCCAGCAGCCGCGGUAAUACGGAGGGGGCUAGCGUUGUUCGGAAUUACUGGGCGUAAAGCGCGCGUAGGCGGGCUGGAAAGUUGGGGGUGAAAUCCCGGGGCUCAACCCCGGAACUGCCUCCAAAACUUCCAGUCUUGAGUUCGAGAGAGGUGAGUGGAACUCCGAGUGUAGAGGUGAAAUUCGUAGAUAUUCGGAAGAACACCAGUGGCGAAGGCGGCUCACUGGCUCGAUACUGACGCUGAGGUGCGAAAGUGUGGGGAGCAAACAGG
rnacentral:rRNA from 1 species